rnacentral:rRNA from 1 species
CAGUAGCCACGGGAAAACCAGCACCUCGAGUGGUCAGGAGGUUUAUUGGGCCUAAAGCAUCCGUAGCCGGUUGCAUAAGUUUUCGGUUAAAUCUAUGCGCUUAACGUAUAGGCCGCCGAAAAUACUGUGCAGCUAGGGAGUGGGAGAGGUACACGGUACUCGAUAGGAAGGGGUAAAAUCCUUUGAUCUAUUGAUGACCACCUGUGGCGAAGGCGGUGUACCAGAACACGUUCGACGGUGAGGGAUGAAAGCGUGGGGAGCAAACAGGAUUAGAUACCCCGGUAGUCCCUGUCUCUUAUAC